rnacentral:rRNA from 1 species
GAUGAACGCUGGCGGCGUGCCUAAUACAUGCAAGUCGAGCGAACAGACGAGGAGCUUGCUCCUCUGACGUUAGCGGCGGACGGGUGAGUAACACGUGGAUAACCUACCUAUAAGACUGGGAUAACUUCGGGAAACCGGAGCUAAUACCGGAUAAUAUAUUGAACCGCAUGGUUCAAUAGUGAAAGACGGUUUUGCUGUCACUUGUAGAUGGAUCCGCGCCGCAUUAGCUAGUUGGUAAGGUAACGGCUUACCAAGGCAACGAUGCGUAGCCGACCUGAGAGGGUGAUCGGCCACACUGGAACUGAGACACGGUCCAGACUCCUACGGGAGGCAGCAGUAGGGAAUCUUCCGCAAUGGGCGAAAGUCUGACGGAGCAACGCCGCGUGAGUGAUGAAGGUCUUCGGAUCGUAAAACUCUGUUAUUAGGGAAGAACAAAUGUGUAAGUAACUAUGCACGUCUUGACGGUACCUAAUCAGAAAGCCACGGCUAACUACGUG